rnacentral:rRNA from 1 species
ACCAAAUUAUUAAUAGAAGUUCUUUAAAUUUAAAGAAUUUGGCGGUAAUUUAUCCUUUCAGAGGGACCUGUCCUAUAAUUGAUAAUCCACAAUAUAUCUUACUAAAUUUUAGCUUAUAUACCUCUGUCAUUGAAUGUUCUUGAAAGAGGUUUUCUGAGGGUUGAUUUUAAUCAAAAUGUUAGGUCAAGGUUUAGCAAUAUUUUAGUAGUGAUGGGUCACAUUUUUAAUAUAAUAGGAAAAUUAAAUGGAAAUUAUUUUAAAUGUGGAUUUGAUAGUAAUCUCCAUUAUUUUAUGGGGU